rnacentral:rRNA from 1 species
GACGAACGCUGGCGGCGCGCCUAACACAUGCAAGUCGAACGAGCGAGAGAGAGCUUGCUUUCUCGAGCGAGUGGCGAACGGGUGAGUAACGCGUGAGGAACCUGCCUCAAAGAGGGGGACAACAGUUGGAAACGACUGCUAAUACCGCAUAAGCCCACGACCCGGCAUCGGGUAGAGGGAAAAGGAGCAAUCCGCUUUGAGAUGGCCUCGCGUCCGAUUAGCUAGUUGGUGAGGUAAUGGCCCACCAAGGCGACGAUCGGUAGCCGGACUGAGAGGUUGAACGGCCACAUUGGGACUGAGACACGGCCCAGACUCCUACGGGAGGCAGCAGUGGGGAAUAUUGCACAAUGGGGGAAACCCUGAUGCAGCGACGCCGCGUGGAGGAAGAAGGUCUUCGGAUUGUAAACUCCUGUUGUUGAGGAAGAUAAUGACGGUACUCAACAAGGAAGUGACGGCUAACUACGUGCCAGCAGCCGCGGUAAAACGUAGGUCACAAGCGUUGUCCGGAAUUACUGGGUGUAAAGGGAGCGCAGGCGGGAAGACAAGUUGGAAGUGAAAUCCAUGGGCUCAACCCAUGAACUGCUUUCAAAACUGUUUUUCUUGAGUAGUGCAGAGGUAGGCGGAAUUCCCGGUGUAGCGGUGGAAUGCGUAGAUAUCGGGAGGAACACCAGUGGCGAAGGCGGCCUACUGGGCACCAACUGACGCUGAGGCUCGAAAGUGUGGGUAGCAAACAGGA